CAGGAAAACAUGCAAACUCCACACAGAACCACGGUAGAGCUGAACUCAAGACCUUCUUCCUGUGCGGUAACGGUGCUAACCACUGUGCCGCCCGCAUAAGAGGAGAGCCACUGAGGGAACGCCUUCCGCCCUUCCGACGCCUCCACCGUGACUCCACUUCUGAGAGGAAUUGCCUACAGAUCAAGCAUGGAGUGUGCCUGAAUGGACAUACAGAACUCCAAGGUUCGGCCCGGUGUUGAGGGUUUUCCCAAAGGUGAGGGCCCGGCGGGCGGUGCCUCACAGCCCUCCGCCUCUGGGAGUGGCCCAUUUCUACUAAGGAGGCAAGAGGUGGCCAGGAGUCUGUCAGCGAGUUCUGCAUGUCCUGGUGACCCUCCACCUGUUUCACAGUGUCACAGGGGAACUCGAGCCUAUCCCAGCUAUCUUAGGGCGAGAAGCAGGGUACACCCUCCACAGGUCGUUGGACUGUGGCAGGAAGCCGGAGUACAAGGAAAGAACCCACGCAAAAACAGGAAGAACAUGCAAACUCCACACAGAACCACGGUAGAGCUGAACUCAAGACCUUCUUCCUGUGCGGUAACGGUGCUAACCACUGUGCCGCCCGCAUAAGAGGAGAGCCACUGAGGGAACGCCUUCCGCCCUUCCGACGCCUCCACCGUGACUCCACUUCUGAGAGGAAUUGCCUACAGAUCAAGCAUGGAGUGUGCCUGAAUGGACAUACAGAACUCCAAGGUUCGGCCCGGUGUUGAGGGUUUUCCCAAAGGUGAGGGCCCGGCGGGCGGUGCCUCACAGCCCUCCGCCUCUGGGAGUGGCCCAUUUCUACUAAGGAGGCAAGAGGUGGCCAGGAGUCUGUCAGCGAGUUCUGCAUGUCCUGGUGACCCUCCACCUGUUUCACAGUGUCACAGGGGAACUCGAGCCUAUCCCAGCUAUCUUAGGGCGAGAAGCAGGGUACACCCUCCACAGGUCACCAGUCUGUUGCAGAGCUAACACAUAGACACAGAAAACCAUUCGCACCUGUGGGCGAUUUAGACUUUUCAACUAACCUCUUGCCACUAA